CUAGUACUCCCUCCGUUCCAUGAUUCUUGUCUCAAAUUUGUCCAAAAAUGGAUGUAUCUAUUCCUUAAAGAGUCUAGAUACAUAUAGUAUUUCGACAAGAAUUAUGAAACGGAGGAAGUACUAU
rfam:Brachypodium distachyon strain Bd21 chromosome 3, whole genome shotgun sequence.